GGCAUACUUAGAUAUUCUUACAAGUAUGCAAAUCUCUAAACUAUAAGCAAAAUUUUUGUUAUAUAUGAGGCUCUGUUUAUGUUUUCAUGUGGCUUAAGUCUUCCUUUGCUGGAUUUUAACGUUGACAAUAACCGUAUACUGAUCUAUUUCUUGUAGAAAAAUGAUCAUUGGGUGAUAAAAUUAAAAGAAAUGCUUCACAAAAAUAGAGUUUGAAAUAUUUCACUUCACUCCCAUAUGUUUGUUUCAUUUUCCUUUGGUCUCAGUGACAAAUAUGACAAAACUGACCCUAGAAACAAUAUUAAAUAUAUAAAAUUUAACUACAGAAGAUUUGUUUUGGAAAAUAGAAUUGAUAUCCAUUAUUAGCUUGUGUACCACUGGCUUUUAGGGGGAAAAAUCUUUUGGGUUUUCGAAAGCUAUGCUGUUUGCUUUAUGUAGCAUGUAGCCAAACAUGGAACAACACAAAAAAACUCUUAAGGUGCUUUUGGCAGAUUAGUAAUAGUUGGAAGUUGCUCAUGAUCAAUCUUGCAAUUGGCUGUCAAUCACUCUAGUGGUUCACAAAGAAAAGGAAGCUGCAAUUAUCAUUAAGCAAAAUUUUGUGUGUGCGUUGGGGAAGGAGUGGGGAGUGUUCUCGCUCUCCUUCUAUUCUUCAUUUUUCCCUCAUUUUUGUUAAGUAGCAUCUAUUUGGAUUUGGAUAACUAAAGAAUCACAAGCCAAGUGUUCCAUGGAAAUUGAAAAACCCAGAAAAUGGAAAGUGCUCCGCAUUAUGUUAUCCUGUGACAUUCUAUUAAGAGUAUGAUUUUUAAAAUUGUAAAAUAUGCUGCUGGGGAAGUUUCAUGCAUUUUAUUAUAAAAUCAUUUCUAUAGAUACUUGUCAAUUUGUUUAUUUUUUUCUAAGUGUUGAUAAUCAGAGGGUAUCUAUUUGGUACAUAC
rnacentral:misc_RNA from 1 species